rfam:Pteropus alecto contig53138, whole genome shotgun sequence.
GUCUAUGGCCAAGACACCCUGAGCAAGCCCAAUCCCAUCUGAUCUCGGAAGCUAAGCAGGGUUGGGACUGGUUAAUACUUGGAUAGGAGACCACCUAGGAAGACGAGGUGCUGUAGGUG